rnacentral:lncRNA from 1 species
GCAUAAGGACCUGGACACACAGAGAAACAAGGACUGCUUGGGGGAACAGGGAGAUCAUGCUCUAUGGCUAUGGUGUGGAUGUAAGGCUCUCUGCUCUGCUCCAGUGCCAUAUCGGUCUACCUCCCAUCACGAGUAACUAACCUGUACAACAAGCAAGUCCAGAAUUAAAUGCUUUCUGGUUCCAAUGUAGACUGAAAACUGGCAGCUCUUUUGUGACUUCCCUAGGAUUCAUGUUGUGGCUUGAACAACUGCUGGACCCUUGGCCACCGUUGGACUGCAGCAGUUCUUAACCUUCCUAAAUGGGGGACCCUUUAAUACAGCUCACGUUGAUGUGAUCCCCCAGCCAUAAAGUUUUCAUUGCUACUUCA